ACCUUGAACUUCUGACUUCUUAGUGUUCUGUCCUUGUGUGUUGUGCUGCUGUGAUGUCACAUUCAAGCCACUCAAACAUCUUUUCUAAAACCGGACACUUUUCCCCCUCUGCUGAGUGGGGAACUCUUGCUUACUGUGUUACGGGAUCCUCCCACUCGGCGGACGUGGGCCCUUCCUGGAGUUUAUGUCUAGUUGUAGCUUUCCUAACCGUGCUCCUUGGAUCACAAGGGCACGUGUCCUCCAGAUGGCAGAGGGUGCUGCUUCCUUGUUAACAUUAAAUAAGAAUGGAGACCAAUCCAUCCUGGCCAUUGCCAUCUCUCUGCCAUCACUGGCUCCUGCCCCCACAG
rnacentral:lncRNA from 1 species